CGAUCAGUAGCCGGACUGAGAGGUUGAACGGCCACAUUGGGACUGAGACACGGCCCAGACUCCUACGGGAGGCAGCAGUGGGGGAUAUUGCACAAUGGGGGAAACCCUGAUGCAGCGAUGCCGCGUGGAGGAAGAAGGUUUUCGGAUUGUAAACUCCUGUCGUAAGGGAAGAGAAAGGACUGUACCUUACAAGAAAGCUCCGGCUAACUACGUGCCAGCAGCCGCGGUAAUACGUAGGGAGCGAGCGUUGUCCGGAAUGACUGGGUGUAAAGGGAGCGUAGGCGGGAUGGCAAGUCAGAUGUGAAACCUGAGGGCUCAACCUUCAGACUGCAUUUGAAACUGCUGUUCUUGAGUGAAGUAGAGGUAAGCGGAAUUCCUGGUGUAGCGGUGAAAUGCGUAGAGAUCAGGAGGAACAUCGGUGGCGAAGGCGGCUUACUGGGCUUUUACUGACGCUGAGGCUCGAAAGCGUGGGGAGCAAACAGGAUUAGAUACCCUGGUAGUCCACGCUGUAAACGAUGAUUACUAGGUGUGGGGGGAUUGACCCCUUCCGUGCCGCAGUUAACACAAUAAGUAAUCCACCUGGGGAGUACGACCGCAAGGUUGAAACUCAAAGGAAUUGACGGGGGCCCGCACAAGCAGUGGAGUAUGUGGUUUAAUUCGAAGCAACGCGAAGAACCUUACCAGGUCUUGACAUCGAGUGACGUAUCCAGAGAUGGAUAUUUCCUUCGGGACACAAAGACAGGUGGUGCAUGGUUGUCGUCAGCUCGUGUCGUGAGAUGUUGGGUUAAGUCCCGCAACGAGCGCAACCCUUAUCAUUAGUUGCUACGCAAGAGCACUCUAAUGAGACUGCCGUUGACAAAACGGAGGAAGGUGGGGAUGACGUCAAAUCAUCAUGCCCCCUUAUGACCUGGGCUACACACGUACUACAAUGGCGACCGAACAGAGGGAAGCAAGACAGCGAUGUGGAGCCAAUCCCAAAAAAUCGCCCCAGUUCAGAUUGCAGGCUGCAACUCGCCUGCAUGAAGUCGGAAUUGCUAGUAAUCGCAGAUCAGCAUGCUGCGGUGAAUACGUUCCCGGGCCUUGUACACACCGCCCGUCACACCAUGGGAGUCGGUAACACCCAAAGCCGGUCGUCUAACCUUCGGGAGGACGCCGUCUAAGGUGGGAUUGAUGACUGGGGUGAAGUCGUAACAAGGUA
rnacentral:rRNA from 1 species